rnacentral:ncRNA from 1 species
AAGAGCCGUAUGCGGCGAGAGUUGCAUGUACGGAUCUGUGCCGGGGCUGUUGGGAUAUAAACCAAUUGCGCCUAUGGCAAU